UGGGGGAUCUUGGACAAUGGGGGAAACCCUGAUCCAGCGACGCCGCGUGGAUGAAGAAGGCCUUAGUGUUGUAAAGUCCUUUCACCGGGGAGGAUGAUGACGUUACCCGGAGAAGAAGCACCGGGUAACUCCGUGCCAGCAGCCGCGGUAAGACGGAGGGAGCUAGCGUUGUACGGAAUCACUGGGCGUAAAGGGCGCGUAGGCGGCUUGGUUAGUCAGAUGUGAAAGCCCAGGGCUCAACUCUGGAACUGCAUUUGAUACUCCCAAGCUUGAGGUCGAAAGAGGAGAGUGGAAUACCCAGUGUAGAGGUGAAAUUCGUAGAUAUUGGGUGGAACACCAGUGGCGAAAGCGGCUCUCUGGUUCGAUUCUGACGCUGAGGCGCGAAAGCGUGGGGAGCAAACAGGAUUAGAUACCCGCGUAGUCC
rnacentral:rRNA from 1 species